CGCUCUUUGUAGAAAAUAAAUGUUAUAUAAAGAGUCGGACCUGCCCAGUGACGUGAUGUUAAACGGCCGCGGUACUCUGACCGUGCAAAGGUAGCAUAAUCACUUGCCUUUUAAUUGAAGGCUUGUAUGAAUGGUUUGACGAGAGCUUAGCUGUCUCCUUUUAAAUAUUUAGAAAUUAAUUUAUAGGUGAAGAGGCCUAUAUGAAUUUGAGGGACAAGAAGACCCUGUUGAGUUUAAGUGAAAUUGAGAAAUGUGUUGUUAUCAAUUGUUGAAAUAGGUAGUUAAUUAUAUAUAUGUAAAGAUUAUGUUUUUCUUUAAUCUUUAGUUGGGGCGACUAAGGAGCAUAAAAAGCUUCCUUUUAUUUGUUAUGGCUAGUAAGUUAGUUUGAUCCAGUUUUUAUUGAUCAAAGGAAAAAAUUACCACAGGGAUAACAGCGUAAUCUUUUUGGAGAGUUCUAAUCGAAGAAAGGGUUUGCGACCUCGAUGUUGGACUAAGAUAUCCCAGAGGUGUAGAAGUUUCUGAGGGUUGGUCUGUUCGACCAUUAAAAUCUU
rnacentral:rRNA from 1 species